rnacentral:tRNA from 1 species
GUAUGGGUGGUUCAAGGGUAGAGUUCUUGCCUUCCAUGCAGGAGACCUGGGUUUGAUUCCUGGCCAAUGCA